GACAGAGGGUGCAAACGUUGUUCGGAAUUACUGGGCGUAAAGCGCGUGUAGGCGGUCUCGCAAGUCGGAUGUGAAAGCCCAGGGCUCAACCCUGGAAGUGCACUCGAUACUGCGAGGCUAGAGUCCCGGAGAGGAUAGUGGAACUCUCGGUGUAGAGGUGAAAUUCGUAGAUAUCGAGGAAGAACACCGGUGGCGAAGGCG
rnacentral:rRNA from 1 species